GACGAACGCUGGCGGCGUGCUUAACACAUGCAAGUCGAACGGAAAGGCCUGCUUUUGGUGGGUGCUCGAGUGGCGAACGGGGGAGGAAAACCGGAGUAACCUUCCCUUUACUUUGGGGUAACUUCAGGAAACUGGGGCUAAUAACGGAUAAGAACUCCUUCUGCCAGGGUGGGGGUGGAAAGUUUCGGCGGUUGGGGAUGGACUCGCGGCUUAUCAGCUUGUUGGUGGGGGAGUGGGUUACCAAGGCCUUGACGGGUAGCCGGCCUGAGAGGGUGACCGGCCACAUUGGGACUGAGAUACGGCCCAGACUCCUACGGGAGGCAGCAGUGGGGAAUAGUGCACAAUGGGCGGAAGCCUGAUGCAGCAACGCCGCGUGCGGGAUGACGGCCUUCGGGUUGUAAACCGCUUUCGCCUGUGACGAAGCGUGAGUGACGGUAAUGGGUAAAGAAGCACCGGCUAACUACGUG
rnacentral:rRNA from 1 species